GUGGGGAAUCUUGCGCAAUGGGCGAAAGCCUGACGCAGCAACGCCGCGUGCGGGAUGAAGGCCUUCGGGUUGUAAACCGCUUUCAGCAGGGACGAAAAUGACGGUACCUGCAGAAGAAGCUCCGGCUAACUACGUGCCAGCAGCCGCGGUAAUACGUAGGGAGCAAGCGUUGUCCGGAUUUAUUGGGCGUAAAGAGCUCGUAGGCGGUUUCGUAAGUCGAGUGUGAAAAAUCUGGGCUUAACCCAGUGGAGCACUCGAUACUGCGAUGACUUGAGUCUGGUAGAGGAGUGUGGAAUUCCUGGUGUAGCGGUGAAAUGCGCAGAUAUCAGGAGGAACACCAACGGCGAAGGCAGCACUCUGGGCCAGUACUGACGCUGAGGAGCGAAAGCGUGGGGAGCAAACAGGAUUAGAAACCCGGGUAGUCC
rnacentral:rRNA from 1 species